GAAAUAAUUUAAGAUUUAAAUCAAGAAUUGAAUACUUUCCAUGACCCACUCCACGCCGGUUAUUUUUCAAAAACAGGACAACAACAUACUCCAUACAUUCCAAGUACCCACGAUAAGAGAUUUACUCCUAAAGAACCUGAAGAAGAAAAACCUGCAUUCCUUGAAUAUACAAGCAAAAGUAUCAGCUGCUCUCCUUUUCUGGGUUCUCACCACAGAAAAUAGUUGAAAACUUAGCAAUUGCCGGCUUUUUCUAUGCAGAUUAUGAUUCCACAACAAUUUGUUUUCAAUGUGGUUGUGAGAAGGAUGAUUGGAAGUUGGGAGAUGAUGCCAUUUUUGAACAUAAAGGGCUAAACAGCACAUGCCCUUUUUUAAGAGACACAGAAAAUGCAAGGGGCAACCCAAAUUUAGUGUAACUAAAGAAACAUGAUAAAUUAACAUUCUCAACCAGGAAAAUAGUCUACAUAAAGAACCUUUAGUAGGGGAAAAUUU